CAUUAAUGGGACUACAUUUAAGUCUUGUCUGGUCCCAUCUGUGGGACACACUGAGGUCAUAUCAGAUUGUCUUUGCAUCUAUGUCAGAUUAUGUUGUGUCAUGUCAGGUUGUGUCAUGCAUUUGUGUCAUGUCAGGACAUGUUAACACAUGUUGGGGACAUGUCAGAUAUCCCAGAUGUCAGAGAGUGCUGGGGCAGACAAGGUGUCCAAGGUCUCUGUAAAGGUGUUUUGUAGAGCACUGGGCUUUGCUUAGGUGUGUACCGCAUGUUGGACCAUGUAGGAGCCAUGUCAAGGCAUGCUGGCAUGUUGUGUCAUCUUGGGGUGUGUCUACGUAUAUGGGGAUAUGUCUCUGGUCUCUGCCGUUUCUCUAACUCUGCUGCAGCCAUAUUUGGUAUCCCCUUGCUUUCCCUCUUCCCCCCUUCUUUCUGUUUCUUCUGCAAUUGUCCCAUUCCUGCUCUGCUGGGCUUGGAGGGGGAAUGCAGACCCCUGGAUGGGAGCCACCUCGCCCACCGAAAGUUCUUACUGUCUCCCUCUCCAUGGCCUCUGAUGGUCCUCAUUCAUCUUAGCCUCCGUUGCGCCCAAGAACAGUGUCUUCUACAGGUUUCUGAAGCCUUGGCUGGGGGAUGGGCUCGUGCUGAGUGCUGGUGACAAGUGGAGCGGUCAUCGACGGAUGCUGACACCUGCCUUCCACUUUAACAUACUGAAGCCCUAUUUGAACAUUUUCAACAACAGUGUGAAUAUCAUGCACGCCAAGUGGCAACGCCUGGCCUCAGAGGGCAGCGCCCGUCUGGACAUGUUUGAACACAUCAGCCUCAUGACCCUGGACAGUCUGCAGAAAUGCGUCUUCAGUUUUGACAGCAAUUGCCAGGAGUAAGUCUCUGCUGAGAGCCCGUGAAUAUGACUCAUAGACCCAACAGAGUAGAUGGAGGGAGGACUGACCAGAGCAAUCAGAAGUGCCUUCCUGGAGGAGGUGCUUCAGAAGGACAAGGAAGGGGAAAGAGAAGGAGUAAUCUUUUCAGGUGAGUAUAAAUGGUUGAGAAAUGCCAGGAAGCUAAAUGAGCAGAGUGUACAACAAUGAGGAGACAUCUUGGAAAUGAGCAUGGAGGGCUUGUCAGGGGAUCGAACUUGAGGACAUUCAAAGACCAGGCAAAGGGGUAUAAACUUUAUUCUGAGAUUUCCAGAGAGCUAUGGAAGGUGUUUGAGUAGAUAAAAGUUGUGGCCAAAGCAAAGCUUGGACAUCUGACUCUAAAGAAGAUGAACUAGUGUGUAGAAAAUGGGUCAUGUUGACAUUGGAUGCAAGGAGCCUAGGGAGGGGGCUAAGCCCAUUCACCAGUCGGGAGAGGAUGAAGUCUGAGCUGUGACGAUAGUUUUGGAAAGAAGGGGCAGACACUGGGUUGGAGAGAGAGAUGAGAAGCAUGAUGUUUCAGCUGUGCUCUGGGAGCCUGGGGCAUGGAGGCGACUCACAGAGACAGGAGGCAGGGAGAGAAGAAA